rnacentral:rRNA from 1 species
GACGAACGCUGGCGGCGUGCUUAACACAUGCAAGUCGAACGGGAAGGCCCUUCGGGGUACACGAGUGGCGAACGGGUGAGUAACACGUGGGUGAUCUGCCCUGCACUUCGGGAUAAGCCUGGGAAACUGGGUCUAAUACCGGAUAGGACCACUGCCUGCAUGGGGGGUGGUGGAAAGCUUUUGCGGUGUGGGAGGGGCCCGCGGCCGAUCAGCUUGUUGGUGGGGUGAUGGCCUACCAAGGCGACGACGGGUAGCCGGCCUGAGAGGGGGACCGGGCGCACGGGGACGGAGAUACGGCCCAGGCUCCUGCGGGAGGCAGCAGGGGGGAAUAUUGCACAAUGGGCGCAAGCCUGGUGCAGGGACGCCGCGUGAGGGAUGACGGCCUUCGGGUUGUAAACCUCUUUCAGCAUCGACGAAGCGCAAGUGACGGUAGGUGCAGAAGAAGGACCGGCCAACUACGUGCCAGCCGCCGCGGUAA